UACGUAGGGUGCGAGCGUUAUCCGGAAUUACUGGGCGUAAAGAGCUCGUAGGUGGUUUGUCGCGUUGUCCGUGAAAACUCACAACUCAAUUGUGGGCGUGCGGGCGAUACGGGCAGACUGGAGUACUGCAGGGGAGACUGGAAUUCCUGGUGUAGCGGUGGAAUGCGCAGAUAUCAGGAGGAACACCGGUGGCGAAGGCGGGUCUCUGGGCAGUAACUGACGCUGAGGAGCGAAAGCAUGGGGAGCGAACAGG
rnacentral:rRNA from 1 species